UACGGAGGGUGCAAGCGUUAUCCGGAUUUACUGGGCUUAAAGGGUGUGUAGGCGGGCCUUUAAGUCUGGGGUGAAAUCUCCGAGCUCAACUCGGAAACUGCCCCGGAUACUACCGGCCUUGAAUUAUGUUGAGGUCGGCGGAAUAUAACAUGUAGCGGUGAAAUGCAUAGAUAUGUUAUAGAACACCGAUUGCGAAGGCAGCUGACUAAGCAUAUAUUGACGCUGAGGCACGAAAGCGUGGGGAGCAAACAGG
rnacentral:rRNA from 1 species